rnacentral:rRNA from 1 species
AGAAUGAACGUUGGCGGCGUGGAUUAGGCAUGCAAGUCGAACGAAUCCCAUCUGGGUAACUGGGUGGGGGAAGUGGCGAAAGGGGCAGUAAGGCAUGGGUAACUUGCCCUGGAGUUCGGGAUAGCCUUCCUAACGGAUGGGUAAUACCGAAUGCCGUACCUUGGGGGCAUCCUUGAGGUACGAAAGUUCCGACGCUCCGGGAGAGGUCCAUGUGGUAUUAGCUAGUUGGUGAGGUAACGGCUCACCAAGGCCAAGAUGCCUAGCAGGUGUGAGAGCACGACCUGCGUCACUGGCACUGGGACACUGGCCAGACUCCUACGGGAGGCUGCAGUCGAGGAUCUUCGGCAAUGGGCGAAAGCCUGACCGAGCGACGCCGCGUGUGCGAUGAAGGCCUUCGGGUUGUAAAGCACUGUCGAGGGAAAGAAAGGCGCAAGCUUUGAUCGAUCUCGUGGAGGAGCGUCGGGCUAAGUCGCGCCAGCAGCCGC